CCUACGGGUGGCAGCAGUGAGGAAUAUUGGUCAAUGGGCGAGAGCCUGAACCAGCCAAGUCGCGUGAAGGAUGAAGGCUCUAUGGUUUGUAAACUUCUUUUAUAUGGGGAUAAAGUGAGGCACGUGUUCCUUAUUGCAUGUACCCUAUGAAUAAGCAUCGGCUAACUCCGUGCCAGCAGCCGCGGUAAUACGGAGGAUGCGGGCGUUAUCCGGAUUUAUUGGGUUUAAAGGGUGCGUAGGUGGUUAAUUAAGUCAGCGGUGAAAGUUGGUGGCUCAACCAUAAAAGUGCCGUUGAAACUGGUUGACUUGAGUAUGCUUGAGGUAGGCGGAAUGCGUGGUGUAGCGGUGAAAUGCAUAUAUAUCACGCAGAACUCCGAUUGCGAAGGCAGCAUACUAAAGUGUAACUGACGCUGAAGCACGAAGGCGUGGGGAUCGAACAGGAUUAGAUACCCUUGUAGUC
rnacentral:rRNA from 1 species